rnacentral:lncRNA from 1 species
GCAGACUCGGCUGUAUCACUGCGAGCGAGAGACUUCGGCUCUUAGGAAACACUUUCUCCUUGUGAAUACAUCAGCCAAGGAGAACCGUAUCAAACCGUAUCAGUCUGACGCGUAUUAGGAAGGUGGCUCCGCGAAAUGGCAAUGGAAGCAGGAGCUGAAAGCACAGCUUGAAUUUCGGUCUGAAUCUCAUCCCGUUAUAAAAUAAAGCGGGUUGGAGAGAGGAGCUGCGCAUAAUGAGCGGAGGAAAUCCUCGCGCUGUCCCUUUAACUACCGAACAUCUGAUUCCCUCAUCUGGCAGAUGGUCUCUGAGCACAGAUUUGCAUUCAUUGUCUUGAAAUCUGUUUUCGCGUUGGUGUUAUAUGGAUUUCGGAGGCAGAUCUAUGCCCGGAUCAGAACACAGAAGGAAAAUAGCAGCGAGCCCAAAUGGCUUUAUAAAAUAAAACCAGAGCGGCCCGCUAUGUAGCCGGCCGGGUCAACUCCGCUGUCCUUUACCGGGGAAUGUUUUCCUACAUCGGUUUAACGCAAAGUGUUCAGGUUCGGGCUGACAGCCCCGUGCACGGGGAGUGCUGCGGGUGGGGCGGCCUCUCGUGCCCCCAUCCCCUCACACAGAGCCCCAUCCGAACGUUUCGGGGUGUGUGUGGUGGUGGUGGUGUUUUCAAAUAUCGCGCUUGAAAGCGAUCAGCGGCUGCGUGUGCGGCUG